GACGAACGCUGGCGGCGUGCUUAACACAUGCAAGUCGAACGGAAAGGCCCUGCUUUUGUGGGGUGCUCGAGUGGCGAACGGGUGAGUAACACGUGAGUAACCUGCCCUUGACUUUGGGAUAACUUCAGGAAACUGGGGCUAAUACCGGAUAGGAGCUCCUGCUGCAUGGUGGGGGUUGGAAAGUUUCGGCGGUUGGGGAUGGACUCGCGGCUUAUCAGCUUGUUGGUGGGGUAGUGGCUUACCAAGGCUUUGACGGGUAGCCGGCCUGAGAGGGUGACCGGCCACAUUGGGACUGAGGUACGGCCCAGACUCCUACGGGAGGCAGCAGUGGGGAAUAUUGCACAAUGGGCGGGAGCCUGAUGCAACAACGCCGCGUGCGGGAAGACGGCCUUCGGGUUGUAAACCGCUUUCGCCUGUGACGAAGCGUGAGUGACGGUAAUGGGUAAAGAAGCACCGGCUAACUACGUG
rnacentral:rRNA from 1 species